UACGGAGGGAGCUAGCGUUGUUCGGAAAUACUGGGCGUAAAGCGCACGUAGGCGGCUUUGUAAGUUAGAGGUGAAAGCCCGGAGCUCAACUCCGGAACUGCCUUUAAGACUGCAUCGCUUGAACGUCGGAGAGGUAAGUGGAAUUCCGAGUGUAGAGGUGAAAUUCGUAGAUAUUCGGAAGAACACCAGUGGCGAAGGCGACUUACUGGACGACUGUUGACGCUGAGGUGCGAAAGCGUGGGGAGCAAACAGG
rnacentral:rRNA from 1 species